UACGAAGGGGGCUAGCGUUGCUCGGAAUUACUGGGCGUAAAGCGUGCGCAGGCGGUUCGUUAAGUUCGAUGUGAAAGCCCCGGGCUCAACCUGGGAACUGCAUUGGAAACUGGCGAGCUUGAAUGCGGCAGAGGGGGGUGGAAUUCCGCGUGUAGCAGUGAAAUGCGUAGAGAUGUGGAGGAACACCGAUGGCGAAGGCAGCCCCCUGGGCUGAGAUUGACGCUCAGGCACGAAAGCGUGGGGAGCAAACAGG
rnacentral:rRNA from 1 species